UGGUAAUAAAAUCCGCAUGUGCCACGUCAAACGCCCAAACCUCAGACUGCUUCUCAUCCAGUGAACGUUAGAUCAAGGCUUUGAUAGACUGAACAAUGUUCCUUAAAAAGACAUGCUCGAAAUUGUUGCUUCUUUGUUUGUUUUGUAUUGCCUUAGAACCGGUUCUUGGGUCCGAUGCAGCAAGUGUUAACGAACCUGCACCGCUCAGCUCGAGUUUAGGCUUAGAAGUGCGCCAAUUGCUUGAAUGGCAACGAAAAAAAUUGUGCCGCAUGGAUAGAAGAUACUGCUAUUCAUAAAAACGUUGUUGUUUUAUUAAGGUUAGACAAUACUGAUAAAAAACAAAUUAUUUAA